AUUGAACGCUGGCGGUAGGCCUAACACAUGCAAGUCGAACGGCAGCACAGUAAAAGCUUGCUCUUACGGGAGGCGAGUGGCGGACGGGUGAGGAAUACAUCGAACUCUACUUUUUCGUGGGGGAUCACGUAGGGAAACUUACGCUAAUACCGCAUACGACCUACGGGUGAAAGCAGGAGAUCUUCGGACCUUGCGCGAUUGAAUGAGCCGAUGUCGGAUUAGCUAGUUUGCGGGGUAAAGGCCCACCAAGGCGACGAUCCGUAGCUGGUCUGAGAGGAUGAUCAGCCACACUGGAACUGAGACACGGUCCAGACUCCUACGGGAGGCAGCAGUGGGGAAUAUUGGACAAUGGGCGCAAGCCUGAUCCAGCCAUGCCGCGUGUGUGAAGAAGGCCUUCGGGUUGUAAAGUCCUUUUGUUGGGAAAGAAAAGAAGAAGGUUAAUACCCCGCUGUUCUGACGGUACCCAAAGAAUAAGCACCGGCUAACUUCGUG
rnacentral:rRNA from 1 species